rnacentral:sRNA from 1 species
GCACCACCUCGUUCGGUGAGGCUCCUGUACGCACACAGGCCACUGAGCUAGCGCGCAUCGAGAGAUAGCGACAGCUUAGGACAGAUAUUCUCGGCGCAAGGGUUUAUCCAAAGUGGCUCCGUUUCGGUUACGGCGUACAGUGCCAAAGCUCUUACGUGGAGGGGUAGC